rnacentral:piRNA from 1 species
UCCACGACCAGGUAGCCGG